CAAAGUUUGCUAAAAAGUGCAUAUUUAUUCUUAAAUUAAAUUACUGGUACUAAAUGCUUUAUAAUAUAAAUAAUUGGAAAGUGUCAAUUGAAAAAUUGGUUUGUAAUUUUGUAAAAUUUCCAAAUAAAUUGUUAUUUUGAUAGUAAUUAGUAGGCUGCACUGGUCACUUUUUGCAAAUAAAAAAAAAAGGGGGGCUGGGCAUAUCCAGCGAGAAGGUUCAAAUUUCACGUAUCUAAUUUAAUCGUAGUAUUUUGGAAGCUACUGGCUAGUGCGGAAGGCGGGCAUAAUCAUGCUGGCUGAUGACAAUAUCGGACAAUAUCACUCAACAGACAGACCGAUGAAAUUGAAGGACUUUCUUCAAUCUAUUUCCCAAAUUUUGCAAUAGAGGAUGAAGACUGCCGUUCUUACAGCAUCAAAGUUGGUGUGGAAUAAUUCUUUAUUCCUCUCUUAAUUUGUUUGUUUAGACUGUGGCUGUGUCAUCGGAGAACUACAUUGUGUGUUUUUUUUUUACUUAUUAUCAUUCAAUUUAUUUACGGCUUACAAUUAAAUUCAUUUUAUUUUUUAAGGGCUUCCUUUUCUGGCCAUUGUUUUAAGUUGAAUUCUUACAAAUAAAUCUUGCAUUUAUUUUAAAUUUAAAGUAGCUUUAAAUUUACAAAUAAUUAAUACAAAUUCAAUUUGAAUUAGCUUGUAGAAUUCAUGGGAUUCCAAUUCACUUCAAGGGAAUUUUUAGAGGCAUUUUAGAAUUCAACUGUAUUCACAAAACUUUCUAGCAGAUGCAUCUAGAAAGUUCUCAAUGUAAAUCAAAUGGGUGGGUGGGUUUUGCGCGACCCUCCCAGGGCUGCUACCCGCGCUAUAAAAAGCGCUCCGUCCGCUGGCUCGAUGCAGAAGGCUGACAGACCUCAGAGAAAUCAGAGGACACCAGGACAUCCAGUGCAGUUUCGGACACCCGUCCGAACCCUUCGCACCCGUCCGAGCCGUCUCAAGGCCCCGACCGCUGACUUGUCCCGACGCUGUCUCGUCCGAGGACAGCCGGAAGGCCGACCGCGUCCCGAGCCCCUCGAGCGGCGCACCUAUGUGUCCAUCGUACUGUCCUGGGUGUGGCUGAGCCGUCCGAAGCCGUACGGAGCAGCUUUGCCAGCUCCUUCCUGUCCAUGAAUCGGGCGCCGACGUGGCACGCCGCCAGCGAGCGCUCGGACGAAGGCGUCCGAACGUCCGCCGCCAGAGACCCGCACGCCGUGGGCCCCGGCCGCGCCGAGAGCCGCCGCCGACCUGUAGGGAGCCGCCGGGUUCCCAGCAAGGACGUUUCCAGGGCAGCCUGCCGGCCUACCCAGGGAACACCGCUCCCAUUUGUUGAUUUUUAAGUGACAUUGAACGAACAAUUUCGAGUCAGUGAAAUUUGCUCAUUCUGCCAGAAUUGUUGUAUAAAAUAAAGCCCGUGUGUAAGCUGA